rnacentral:rRNA from 1 species
UACGGAGGAUCCGAGCGUUAUCCGGAUUUAUUGGGUUUAAAGGGUGCGUAGGUGGGACAAUAAGUCAGUUGUGAAAGUUUGCGGCUCAACCGUAAAAUUGCAAUUGAAACUGUCGUUCUUGAGUGUACAUGAGGUGAGCGGAAUUCGUGGUGUAGCGGUGAAAUGCUUAGAUAUCACGAAGAACUCCGAUUGCGAAGGCAGCUCACUGGGGUACAACUGACACUGAGGCACGAAAGUGUGGGUAUCAAAC